UACCUUCAUCAACAUCAUCCUCCCUACUUUCAGAAUCAACAUCCUCAACAUCAUCAUCACCAGAUUCUUUAUCAUCCUCACCUUCAGUAUCUUCAUCAUCACCUGACUUUCCAUUCUCCUCACCAUCUUUACAUUCAUCAUCAGCCUCCCAAUCAUAUGAACCAUCAUCAUCAACAUCAUCAUUAGUAGACAAGAAGAAAAUGAGCACAGGUCUGCGUGUGUAUGUGCGCUCCAGGACUGAUGUGGAAGCAACACUACAGGUUUUGCAAAGUUUUCUCCUUGACAUGGAGGUCGUCAUGAGGGGAAAUAAGACUAAAGACUGCAAGAUACGAGUGC